AUUUUAUUCUGUGACAUAAAUUUGUACUUGACCUAAUUAUGAAUUUAUUAAGUUGGGCAUUCUUUUCAUUCAUGUUCUUAUGUGUCCAUGAAUCGUCCAAGAAAUUAAUAAGAUGAUGACGCAUAUUCUCAAGAGUUGAUUAUUUGAGGUAUGUGUUAUUGGUGAUUAAUUUCUGAAUUGCUCCUGAUCGAUGGAUCAUCACGAGGACGGUGAUUGAUCCGCUGAGAUUAGUGCAUAUAUUGCUUUUUUUGAUGGAUGAGUUCUGAGUCCACAGUAUAGGGAUACUGGAACAAUUGUGCAAGUGCUUGUUAGAGAACAAGGAUACUAAGCGUGACCAAGAUAAGAAGUCACUUGGAUGUCUAUCCACUCGUCAGUGACUUGCUUGAUGUUGCAGUAGUGUGACUAGUCCUUUGACCUCCGGUGCUUCGGCUAUUCACAGUGAGAUUAUUGCAGUUUGACUGCACGUAUACAUGGUCUCUAGCCAUAUGGGUCCUUGUAGUGUAGAUUGGCUGCAGUAGGUUCACUAUAGGAGUAGGGUAUGCACCUAUAAGAAAUCUAUCGACCUUGGUAGAUAAGGAGUGAUCCUAUGUGAUUUAUGAGACUGAGUUCGUAAGACCUCGGCCGGGGCAGUACGUAUAGUGGAGAAAGAGUUUUUCACUCUCGAACUCAAGUCAAAUAAAUUUGACAUAUGACAGACGAUGGGGUUUGAUAAGUUAUCCAUGACCUCAAUCCUGUAGGGAUCCAUGAUAAAAGAACUGUAUCAUGCGAUAACUGUACCUAGAGGUUCAUCAUUACAUUCUGCUGGGUUGCCACUACAUGCUGCUGGGUUGCCACUACAUGCUGCUGGGUGGAUGGUGAGACUCACAAGGACUAUCUUGAUGAUCGAUGAUCCUUGGUGAGUUGAGUUGGAAUUGUUCCAACCCAUUGAAAGGAGUUUUCAAUGAUAUUGUGAUAGAGAUUGCAAUAUAUCUCACUACCAGAUAGAAUAGAACCUAUGAGGUCACACACAUUGGAGGUAUUGACCAAUCUGAUGGUUCAAUUAUGAUUUGAAAUCACAAAUAAUUUAUAAUUAUUAAUUUGAUUGAUAAUUGAUGUAACCCACUAAGAGUUAGUGAGUAGAAGAAAGAAUAGUUACAAUUGGAUUGCAAUUUAAUUAAAUCAAUUGGAUUUAAUUAAUUGGGAUUGAUCAUAUUAGACUAGAGUCCUACUUGGAGUAGGAUUUCUAGAGUCCUUAUUAGAUUAGGACUUCAAAUUAAAAUAGAGUUCUACUUGGAGUAGGAUUUCUAAAGUCCUAAUUGGAUUAGGACUAAAAUUGAAUAAGUCCUAAUUGGAUUAGGAGUUCUUAAGUCCUAAUUAAUUUUAAUCUAAUAAAUUAAGAUGGCUCCUAAUUGGAUUAGGAUUGAAGAGUUCAAUUGAGUCAUGGUUCAAUUGAAUCCUAAUUAGAUUAGAAUUUGAAGGAAAAGAAAAUGGGUGCACUCAAUCCUUUUUGGAAGAGGAUUAGAUCCCCUUGUAAAUAGGCCCCAACCCACUUAAUUUAAUUAAGUGGGGGCAUGAUUAAAAAGAAGGGAUAAGAGGGAGGGGAAGGGAUAAGAGGGAGGGGCGUACGCCCCUCCCUCCCUGGUGCAUUACAUGAAAAAAAAGAGGAGGGGCGUACGCCCCUCCUCUUGAAUCAAAGAUAAGGUUGUAACUUCUAAAUUUUAGGACCUCCAAUCCUUAUCUUAAAAAAUUUAAGGAGGGGGGGGGGGGGGGCAGCCGUGAGUGACUUUUCCCCCUCCUCUUGGAACCGUGAACAGCACCCAUCCCUCUUGGAAUUCAGCCGAAAAUAAACACAAAAAGGAGAAUAAGGGGUGGACCCCGCAAAGAAAAAAAGGGCUGAUUCCAUGCCGUGAGAUCCCUCUUCUCUCCUUCCUUUGUGCCGUGAGGGUGCCUCCUCCCCUCUUGGUUUUUGUGCCGUGGGAAAGCCUCCUUCCUCUUGGGUUUCAGCCACCAGCAAGCAAAGAAAAAGGAGGAGGCAUGUAGCCCUUCCUCCCUCUCUUCUUUGGUUCCAAAAGAAAAGAAAAAGAAAAGAAAAAGAAAAAAAAAAGGCUGCAAAGGGGUUUUGCCUUCUUCCUUUUGAUCCAUCCUUCUUCCUCCUCUCUAAGGCAAUCAAGAGUUGAUUCAAAAGAGAGGAUUUCAACCAUCAAAACGUAUCUUUGCAAGGGAGCUAGCACCCCGGGGAGAUUAGAGAGUUUGGAUUGGUCCUCUGCCUCGUGUGGAUACCCGUAGAGGCCGGACGCGUGUGCGGCUUCAACCGAACCUGCCAACAAAUAUCACGGUCAUCAGAUUGCAGUGAAUAUCUACCUGCACAAGGUGAAGAUCUGAUCUUCCUAAUCAUGUAAUUUUUUUUUUAAUCCUAAUCUAUCUAUAAACGAUGGUUUUAAAUAUUGUUCAUGUGAUGAACGGGAUCUUGCGCAUGCUUUCCGCUGCGUUCUGAUUUUUCUGCGGCGUGCGUGGAAUUCCAACAGUGGUAUCAGAGCCAUGGUUUCGUAGAUUAAGAUUAGGAUUAAAAGAUUAAGACAUAAUAGUUCUGAAAAUUUAAAGAUUAUGCAUGCUGGAUUUUUCUGCAUGCAGAAUUUUCAGUUUGCUAAUUUUUUUGCAUGCUAAUUUUUAUGGGAUUAGAUUAAUGAUUCUAUUGCUUUGUUAAUGUGAUUACAAAUAUUUAGAAUCAUAUUCUUGCAUGAUCAACAACUCAUGAGAUGACAUAAUCUGUUAAAUAUUCAGAUCUAUAAAUUAUAAUCAAUGCAUGAGAUGUAUUUGGUGAUAAUCAUGGAUGGACCCUUUAAUUGUGCUGAAAUGUUCUGCAAUAUCUGUGAUGUUAUGUGAUGGCAUGUAAAUUAGAUUUUCAGAUGCCUGCGUGCAUCUUAUAUUGAUGUAUUAGAGCUGCGUGUCUCAUAAAAAAGAAAAUGUAAUUAUUAUUUAAUUUUAUUUAUUUUUAAAGUUAUCUGGGAUGUAAUCUGUGAUGUGUUUGUACGUCAAUGGUUGAUCGGUGCAUGCCUCUACAAGCACGAUUUGCGCAUGUCAAGAUCAAGGGUUGAUUGGAGAUGGAUCAAGGAGUUGAUCUUAAUUGGACCAAGGGUGCUCAAGAUCGAGUCAAUAGUUGAAGACGAUCUAACCAAUUGACGUGCAUGUGCUUGUACUAUGAUCCCAUCCUGGAUCCAUGAUCAUCACCAGUUAUUGUGUGAUUAUGCCUUCUUGUUGAUGUUUAUGUUUAUGCAUAGCGGGUAGAUAAUUAUUUGCAUGAGAUGUAGAUAAUUAAAUGAAAGAGACCUAAAUUAAAUCUCCUCGAAAAAUAUUAAGUCUAGAGGUCUUCCACCGUAGUAGAGCUGCUAAGGUCUUUCUGGCAUUGAUUUGUCUUGGCUGGAUACAGUGGGCAAGUUGCAUCGGAGGACCGGACCUCUCUAUAGAUAUGAGAUGUUGUGGGGUUAAAGAUGGGGUUGGGCCCAAUAACUAUUAGGUGAGGGACCCAAUGACGGCUUUGCUUCUGCGGUUAUACGGUGGGUCCGACUUAACUUAGGAAUGGGGCCAACAACUGUUAGGUGAGGUCUUCAUUACUUAGGGACUGGAUAGCGCUACAACUUGCUUGAGAAGCACUGUACAAGAGUUGUACACUCAUCGUUUAUGUGUCACCAAUAACUGUUAGGUGAGGUGGCAUGUAAAUUGGUGGGACCGUAGCACCCCACUUGAAAUCUAGAGUCGCAAGGUUUCCGUUUUUCUACCUGAGGAAUGUGAGAGAUUCGAGGAAAUAGUGGGAGGUAUAUUUGUUUUAAAAGGUCCUAAAAUAAAUAGAGUUCAAGUACAAAAUUCUAAUUAGAAUCUUUACUCUCUGAGGAUUAGAAAUUCAGCUUCUCAACUCUUAACUCGUAUCCUAUAAAACAAUCGUUUGACCAAACCCAAUUAUAAAGACUGGCUCUGCAAUUACAAAAUAGUUUUGAAUUGUGAGAAAUUAGGGUAUGUGCUAGACCAUAAAAUUUCCGUGUUACCAGUCCGUCCGAUCACUGAUCAGCAUAAGACACAUGCUAAGUGAACGAAUGAUGACAAUAUAGUUAGGUGCUACAUAAUGGCAUCCAUGUCUAAUGAACUACAAUGCCAGCAUGAGAACAUGAAGAUUGCCAGGUUUGAAGUGUCCAAGAGGCUCUUCAAAGGUGUGGAGUAAUUGAGUAUUCCCUAAUUGAUUUUGAUGAGCACAAAGAAUUUUGAGUAUGUCUUAUGUUGUACUAAUGAAUUCAAUCUAGUGUUUCAGGCAAAUAUGUGUGAAUUUCUAUUUAAGUACCUCGAGCUUUGGUUCAAAGUAAUUUGGCUAAGUGUUGGACUCAAUUUUAACCAAAGUCUGCAUCACGAGUCGACUCCAAAACUUUGCGAGUCGACUCCGGGUAGUUUGAUGUUUUUGGCACAAGCUCGAGUCGACUCUGGAACUCCUCGAGUCGACUCUGACUGAGAAUAGAUAGAAAGACAGAACGAUGGUUUUCAGACCCUGUCAGCGAGUCGACUCCAAAAGAUUGUGAGUCGACUCCGAUGCUUGGCGAGUCGACUACAGAUAGUUCCGAGUCGACUCCAAAGGAUAACAGAUAGAAAGACAGAACGAUGGAUUUUAAACUCUGUUACCGAGUCGACUCCAAAAGGUUGCGAGUCGACUCCGAUUCUUGGCGAGUCGACUCCCAGUAUGUCCGAGUCGACUCCCAGAGGAAAGCAGGCUGAAAAGGCAGAGACUCACUUUUGGAGACCCUAUGAACGAGUCGACUCCAAGUAUUGCAGAGUCGACCCCCAAGAUAGUCAAGUCGACUCCAGUAAGGUCCGAGUCGACUCCAAGGCAGAAAUGUUCAAACUCCUUUCAAUGGGUUGGAACAGUUCCAACUUAACUCAUUAGGGUUUAUCGAUCAUCAAGAUAUUCUCUGUGAGUCUCACCAUCCACCAGUGAUACCUAGCAGCAUGUAGUGGCUACCCAGCAGAAUGGAAUGAUGAACCUCUAGGUACAGUUAUCGUAUGAUACAGUCCAACUAUCGUAGAUCCCUACAGGAUGGAGGUCAUGGACAACUCGUCAAACCCCAUUAUCUAUCAUAUGUCAAGAUUUAUUCGACUUAAGUUCGAGAGUGGAAAACUUUUUCUCCACUAUGCAUACUGCCCCGGCCGAGGUCUUACGAACUCAGUCUUAUAAAUCACAUAGGAUCUCUCCUUAUCUACCAAGGUCGAUAGAUUUCAUAUAGGUGCAUACCCUACUCCUACAGUGAACCUACUGCAGCCAAUCUACACUGCAUGGAUCCAUAUGUCUAGAGACCAUGUAUACGUGCAGUCAAACUACAAUAAUCUCACUGUGAGUAGCCGAAGCACCGCAGAUCAAAGGAUCAGUCACACUACUGCAAUAUCAAGCAAGUCACUAACGAGUGGAUAGACAUCCAAGUGACUUCUUAUCUUGGUCACGCUCAGUACCCUUGUUCUUUAACAAGCACCUGCACUAUUACUUCAGUGUCGCCACACCGUGGACUCGAGUCUCGUCCAUCCAUAAGGAAAGCAAUGUGUGCACUGAUCUCAUCGGAUCGAUCACCGUCCUCGUGAUGAUCCAUUGAUCAGGAGUAUUUUAGAAAUUAAUCAUCAAUGAUGCAUGGCUCAAAUUCUUAACUCUUAAGAAUAUGCAUCAUCAUCUUAUUAAUUCUUGGAUGAUUCAUAGACACAUAAACAAUAUGAAUGAAAAGGAUGCCUUUUAUUUAUUCAAUAAUAAAUAGUCAAGUACAAAAUUAUGUCCUAGAAUUAACAAUGUGUCAGCCAGAUUGGCUUCUAGGGCAUACAUCUAACAGAUAGCUCUCCAAGUGGUCUAGGAGGUCGGUGGUCCCGUUGUAAAGCUCUAUCUGAGGCAUUUUGUACCUCGGCGGGACUGAUUCGUCCUCAAUCUGGCGGGAGAAGGGUGAUUUGGUAGUGAACUCAAAAUCACCCUCACGCCUUGCCUUCCAGUCCUGGAGCGCCUCGAUCUGAUGCUCGACUUUUUCGACCUUCUUGUCGAGUUCUCCGCCUUGGGAGACUAUCACGGCGGUCUGCCCCGAUACCGGUUGAUCCGGGGCCGACUCAGCCUCCGAGAGUUGGGGCCUUUUAUCCUGGUUCUUCCCUAGCGGCUCCCUCCGGGGAGACGCUCGGGUUGAAUCCUGGUAACAGCGCCAUCCUUCAUGGUCGACCCUCAAAGAGUCAUGGGGACCUUGGCCUUGGAACACCGGUCCAUUUGGAAGGAGUGCCGAUCGGACCGGAAUCUGUGGAGGUGGCACAAGAGGGGCCUCCAUGCAUUGUAGGCCUUGGACUGCUGCUGCCAGGGCCUGGACUUGCUGCUCCAGUGUGUUGAAAUGUUCCGGCUGGACUUGGGGUGCUGGAUUCGUCGGAGGUCUUGGUGGUGGAUUAUGGACUGAGUGGCCAGGACUUAGCGUGCGACGCCGAGAGGUGUUGGAGGCUCCUUUACUCCUUAGCUUCAUGGUCACGACUCGGGCCCUUCCUCUAGCGCCAACUGUUACUGGAAAUUGGACCCGGGGGCGACCGCGGGCUGAGGAGGAGAAGCUCCGACAGGUGGUGCGUCGACGGGCUGCGUCCUCUGGGGGCCUGCAAGAAGCCGGUGGCCGGAGUUUCCAGCGCCGGCCCUCCGAUGCUUAAGUCAGAGGAAAUUUUUUUGUGGAGAAAGAGAGAGAAAUUGCAUCCAAAAGAUCCCCUUCUCAGAAGAAAAGGUCUCCCUUUUAUAAGAGGGGUGUAGGGGUUACCUGUGACUGGACGUGACUGUGCGAAUUAAUGAGUUGUCGUCAUGAUUGGACGUGAUCAUAUGAAUUAAUGAGUUGCUGUGGAUGAUUGGACGAGAUCGUGUGAAUUAAUAAGUUGCUGUGGAUGGCAUGGCUGGAGGUCUUUUGAGAUCGUGCGCAUUUAAUCGUUGACAGUCGCUAGGGCGGAGAUCGCAGGAUUGGAUCUCAGAUGAGGAGGAGCGAGGCUUGAUUUCCGGUGGAGUGGAGAGGUCUACUUCAUCCUUUAGCUGAGUCUCCUUUGGGCUUGAGGUCGAUCGGGCUCAACGUAACCAAGAAUAAGGCUGCAAGGCAGCGAGCUCUGAGGUCUGGCGUGCUAAGGUCGGGCGCCUCGAGGUCGGGCGCCUUGAGGGUUGCUGCCGUUGCGCUCGUCAUCACGUACCGACGAUGUAUCCACAUGUUUUGGGCAAUCCAUUUUUUCCCCAACCGUUUUUGCUCGCACUUAAUCAUGGAUCUAGAUGGCUAAAAUCCAUGAUUGAUCUAGAUGGCUGAAAUCCAUGGUUGGUUCUAGAGUUCGCUUACGAUUAACUAAAGCAUAGGUAACAACAUUGUCGGCAUAACUCAUAGAUCCCAUAUUUACCAGCACAUUGCCUUCCGGUCGGCUAGUCUGCAGAUAAUAUUAAACAAAGCUUGGACGGCUGCAAUGGGUUAUCUUGGGCGGACUAAAAUACUAAAGAAAGAAUCUUAUAAGAUUCUUAGAAGAAGUAGAUGCAAUUGCCCAUUGCCAUUAUUUUAUGCUUUUGGUUCCACAUGGAAGCUGGUCGUUAGACUUAAAUACACUCUACAUCACAUAGUAAUUUAAAGCACAAAACCAUAAAGAAUAUUCUACCACGAUCCCUAACCCAAGCAACAUUCAUUUGGAACCCCGAAUCAUAAAAUAGCUAGCAUUAUCAAACACAAACAAAAUUUAAAUGGGAAAUACAAAAGCCCUACUUGAGACUUACCUAAAUGAUGUCCUAUGAGUGCCGCUAACUUGAGCAUGCUCGUGCACUAGCUGGUGAGGAAUUCAACAUCAUUGACUCCUACUGCGCUCGUGGAGAUGGAAAAUGAAGUCAAUUAGGGCUUCGAUUACACUGGAAUCAGGGAGGAGAUGGGAGGGGAAAGAGGGAUUAGAUCAAAAGCUUGGCCAAGAUUUAUCCCAAAAUAGUUUCCCUUCAUUGCCAAUUCUUCUGGAAGCUAGAUGGUAUUUUAGUCAUUUUCCACAAUCCGUUAAAGGUGUUAGGACAUAGAUGGCCGGGCUACGUUGGAACCUAAAAUUAGAUAUGGUGGCUCGUUGAAAAAUUUUGAAGUUUUAAGGUCAAAGAUAUUCGCACCCAAACUUGAAAGGAUCUCGCCAUAAUUUUCCUUUUUCACUUUUACGUUUAAAAUAAACAAAUUAAUAAUAUAACAUUUAUUACAUAAAAUAUUAUCAAUUAUAUAUACCGUGAAGUUAGGCAAGGAUGUAAGAUUCCAAGUCCAGCCCGGCUUACUCUGGCCGGCCGAAAACUUAUGAGGCAUGUAACAUACGAGAUCUCAACCUUCCAACCAAAACUUAUGGACGGUCAAGAAAAAACAAGCGGGAGAAACCUUUUUUUAAUUGCUUUUUAAUUAACGGCUCGUGAAUCCUUUUUUAUGUUACUUUUUCACAUUUUGAGUAACAUGAAGCACGUAGGCCUUUCCCAUGCUGGAAGAUACGCAAAUUAGGCCCACCUCUCAGACAUCCUCCUUGAGGAGGUACCAAACCUUUCAUGGGUGGAGCUUGGGGUACCCUGUGAUCUAGAACCACAUUUGGCGGCCCCUUUUUGGUACAAAUCACACAUUACAAUGGACCUUCGUUCGUUUAGCUGGUUAAACCUAGUGUUUACUACACUUUAACAGCCUUUAUUGACUGCUGUAAGUGUACCUUUACUCUGAUGAUAUAAUAAGUAAUUUGAAAAAGAAAAACAAGUUAAUUUUAGCCAGGGCUAAGUUUCAUCUAUAUUGAAUUAAAUUAAAUAUUUUAAACCUUUCCUCCAAAUUUAAAGUUUGAAUUCAAAUUCCGCAUCAACGGACUUUCUGCUUCUUUUGGCCUGCGUCUGCUUUGACUUGGUUAACGGCCAAGUGUCAAGCAUCCGCACGCAAGCAAGGGAGCAAACAUGGAAAGAUCCCCAAAGAAAGCAAGCCAAGACAGGUGUCAUGCAUCCACGCGCAGGAGCAAGCAUGAAAUAGCCCCCAAAGAAGGUGGGCGGCUAAGAUGCAACAGGCCACAGGAUCAAAGGAGCACAAGAAGAUAUGUCAUCAAUCCACGGAAGGAGAGUGCUUCUUUUGACGUGCCUGAGCCUAUAUAAAAGGCUCUAGGGAUCAUUUCAAGACAAUGAAAAAUUCCUCUUCUUCCUCUUGUUCUUAUUCACUUCUCCUCAUAAUUUCAAUUAUUUUUCUAUGUUUCUUUUGAGCUAUCUGCAAGCAUGAACAUGCCCUUCUUUCUUCUCUGGAGGUGUACUGAUGGGAAAAACGUGGUUCUAUACUAGGUCAUCGUAUCUCUAGAAAAUCUAUGCCAGCGGACCCGUGCAUGGGGGGCAUAAACUUUUCUAAGAUAGCGCGCCAACGUGCUUCGAUCCAAAGGCCAUUUUUUUCAUUUCUUUAUUUUCUUAUUUUAUUGUCAAGUAAAUAAUUUGCUAGUUUAUUCUUCUUGUUUACUAUUUAUAAAUAUUAGAAACAUUGAAUUAUUGAUUUAUCAAUUAUAUUUGUGCAUCUAGGCUAACAAUCCAGAAAAGUUUAUGUAAUGGUAGCACUAGAUUUUAAAUUACAACAUUUAUUAUACAUUCUGCCACAUAUUGCAUGCACAAUCUUAGGUUGAGUUUUUACUCUUAAUGAAUCCGAGACCCAUGAGACAAGGUACCUACUUGCUUGUACCCUUUUGAGGAUUAACCUAUAUGUGUGUAGUCGUGAAGCCACAACUGUGGAAAGCGGGCUAUUCCCCAAUAACACACAUGAAGGGAUACAUGCACAUGGUCGUAAGGUGCAAACCCGCUUCGAGCAUUGUUCAUGCUAUAUUAUGUGUGCUGUUGAUGAAAUCUGAGCUAUGGACCAAGGUUCAAGGCAUAGUCCAUCUUGGCUCCACAGAGAUAAUCAAUUGUUACUAAGUGGAGGUUUAAACCGAAAGGUACCUACACCUAUUACAUAAUAUAAGAUACUCAGCACUUUAUUUUGAUUUUUAAAUUAUUUAAAUAUUUAAUUUAUGUGGGGGAUUGUUAAAUUAAAUUAAAUAUUUUAAAUUAAAUUAUUUAUGUGGGGAAUUUCCUCUAAAUUCAAAAUUAGAAUUCAAAUUCAAAAUUUGAAUUCAAAUUCUGCGUCAACGGGCUUUCUGCUUCUUUUGGCCUGCAUCUGCUUUGACUUCGUCAACGGCUAAGUGUCAAGCAUCCAUGCAUAAGUAGAGAUGGGCAUCGGGCCGUGCCGGGCCUGGCCCGGUCCCGGCCCACCGGGCCACAGACCAAACGAGUCGUGCCUGGCCCGGCCUGUUACUAAACCGCUUAACCUAAAGACUAAGCCCGGCACGGCCCUAGGCCCGUGGGGUGGCGGGCCAUGCCGGGCCCAUAAUAGCUAUUUUUUUGGCCCAUAACGGCUAUUUGUGGCUUUUUACCCAUUUUGCCCCUCCCAACAACCAUAAAACGGCUAAUUUGAGGGGUAUCUUGGAGAAAAAUACCCUUUAUGAGCCGUUCCGGGCUGGUCCGCGGGCCGUGCCGUGCUUGGCCCACGAAUCGUGCCAGCCUAGGCCCUUAUGAGCCGUGCCGGGCUCGGCCUGCGGGCCAGAAAUCCUUAACCCAUCUCGUCCCCUUUUUAUGAGCCGUGCCUAGCACGGCCCGUUACUGUAGCAAGCGGGCCGUGCCGGGCCGUGCAGGGCCAUGGGCGGCCCGGCCCAAUGCCCACCUCUAUGCAUAAGCAAGGGAGCAAACAUAGAAAGAUUCCCAAAGGAAGCAGGUCAAGACAAGUAUCAUACAUCCAUGCGCAAGAGCAAGCAUGGAAUAACCUCCAAAAAAGGAAGGAAGUAUGGGCGGCCAAGAUGCAACAGACCACAGGAUUAAAAGAGCACAAGAAGACGUCAUCAAUCCGCGAGAGGAGAGUCUGCUUCUUUUAACACAUUUGAGUCUAUAUAAAGGGCUAUAGGGAUCAUUUCAAGACAAUGAAAAAUUUCUUUUCUCACUCUUAUUCUUAUUCACUUCUUCUCAUAAUUUUAAUUAUUUUUCUAAGUUUCUUUUGAACUAUCUACAAGUAUGAACGUGAUUUUCUUUCUUCCCUGGAUGCAUACUGAUAAAAAAGAUGUAGUUAUAUAAUGGGUCGUCGUAUCUCUAGAAGAUCUAUGCCGGCGAAUCCGUACGUGGGGAGCAUAAACUUUUUUAUGACAGCACGUCAACAUGCUUCGAUUCACGGGCCAUCUUCUUUUAUUUUUUAUUUUCUUAUUCUACUGUCAAGUAAAUAAUUUGCUAGUUUAUUCUUCUUGUUUACUGUUUAUAAAUAUUAGAAAUAUUAAAUUAUUGAUUUAUCAAUUAUAUUUAUGCAUCUAGGCUAACAAUCUACAGCUUUUAUUCCUUACUUUCCCCGUAAAAAGGUAAUAUCGUCAGUUAUAUUUGUAAUCAUGCUGCCUGGGCAGCUUCUCCUCUUUUCAAAGAUCACAACCAAAGUAACCAAGAUACGCCAGUGCUCAAAACCAUAUUCCAUUUUCCACGUGAAAGUGAUCUUAUGACAUAGGCACACCCCGCAGCCCAUCCAUGAUCACUUCAGCUGUUCUCCCAAGUCCAUGGCUUAAGCCCUCUGUUCAACUGGUUUUUGGCGCAUAUAGACAGAAAGUCGAAGAAAUUCCUUGGCUUCGCAGCCAUUGCAGUGUCAUACUCUUCAUAUGUGACACAGCUGCUGUCAAAUGUGGCCGGCCGUGAAACUAUGCAGUGCAACUUCCUAGGCUUCGAGCAAACAGGUUUUACUAAUUGCUGCUGCUGCUGCUGCUGCUCCAACUACUGCCGUAGAUGAAACUGAGGGACUUUGAGCACAGUGCAGUCAAAGAGAGAAUACCAGAUCUGAGGCCUUUGGCCCAGCGAAAGAUACAAAAGCAGCAUAGAAUCACCAGAAAUUGAUGGAAGAGGAAAGGUGCCAUUGAACUGAAUGACGCGAGUUAGUGGAGGUCACAUGCUCGUACUUUACAUUGAGAAGGGCCCAUGCGUCACUGCAGUCUAUCAAACACAUCCUCCAGAUGGUGGGCUCCAGCAGCAUAAUAAUAUCACACUCACCGACUAAGGCAGAGAAGCUGAAUUGAAAUAAAGGGGCCGCUUACCUUUGGAAAAGGACACACACGGAAACGCAGGCAUGGGAAAAGAAUGGAGAGAAGGAAUUUGCAUCGUAGACCCUAAGAAGGAAGUGGUAAUUUUCCAUGCUUGAAUGGGUGGAAAUUCGGAAAUGAAGACAGCGAUCCGAUCGCAUGGAGGGAGUUGAGAAUAUCGGCGUGGUCCAGCCCUGGAGGUCAUUUUCUGAAGCAGUUGCAGAGGCUGACGCCGUUCGGUUCUCUUCUGGUUGAAAGGGUUAGUUCUCUUUACAAUCUAGCUGACACCUAAAGGAAUAACAUAUCACUGGAAUGAGGUUAAAGUAAAAGGGAAUGUCAUCAUUAAGAUUUCUGGAGAUCAAGAAUCAGUGGUCUGUUCCCAAUACCCUGGAUCAGGACUAAUUAAUGAAACAGCCUACAUUCACAGAAUCAAGUCUUCAGAUAAAUAAGUUCUCUGCAUGGAUAUCAAGGUUAUGAGGGGAGAUCAUAUGAUACAGUUAUUAGACAUACAUAGCUGACUUACUCGGUGCUUCAGUCCAGCUUCUAAAACAAGCAAGUGCAGCAAAAUACAAAAAGGAGUUGUCAUGAGCUGACGCCUUGCAGACUUCGGCAGACCUAGGUUUUCAAUAAUCCAAAGACCCCACAGAUGUGAUACUACUGCUCAAAUUUCUCGAGUCCUGCCGGCUCACAUAGCCAUCACAACUGUUGCUUGGGGGCCUUUUGAUGGGGGCGGAGUUCAGAAGAUUAACACCUUGUUUGCCCAUCUGCUGCACUUCUUGGGGUGAAAGUAUCUUUAUGCAAUAUACAGUGUUCACAAACUCCCUGGAAGAACAACCAAAUGAAAUGUGCAGAGGAUAUAAACAUGUCAGAAACAACAAUCCUGAAGUACAAUGUAUCUCGCACUUCCUGACCUCAAAAAAUCAUCUAAUCUAAAUAAUAAUGACAACUACAGAAAUUUAUUUAGAUAUUUUAGUUUACUAAUGUGGCAAAGGCAGCAGAAUUCCUGGGAAAAGCAAAAGCAAACCAAAAUACCAAUCCAUGUUCUAAGAAGAUUUUCACUUUGAACAAACAACUAUAAUCAUAAGCAACAAGCAUCAUCCAAACAAAGAACCUGAAGAAAUCUUAACCAAUAGAAAGGGCAAGAGCAUAAAGCACUUACUGCCAGGGAUCAUCGCCAACAAGAAGAACAUCAUUCUCCCGGUCAACGAAUACAAGCUGCCAGCCUGAUCUCACAGGGUCUUCUAGCUGACCUUCUAGGCCAAACAGACGCCCAAGCUCACCACGCAGCUCAUGGUAGCUGCUGAAUCUGGUGAUGUCCAGCGACCUUCCAAAGGACCCUGACUUGUAAACCUAAGAUUCCAAACAAAAAGCUNNNNNNNNNNNNNNNNNNNNNNNNNNNNNNNNNNNNNNNNNNNNNNNNNNNNNNNNNNNNNNNNNNNNNNNNNNNNNNNNNNNNNNNNNNNNNNNACUACUACUACUACUAUAUAUAUAUAUAUAUAUAUAUAUAUAUAUAUAUAUAUAUAUAUAUAUAUCUUUUUUCCUGUGAGGUAAUAUGUACAUGUAGGUAUAAUAUAUUGACUUUAUGCAAGCAUGCUAUGUAUGAUAUCAGCUUUCUUGAGGAGAACGGGAGGAACACAUUGAAACUGUUUAUCAAACUUUAUUAUCUCCAUCAUAUGUAACAUUGCAAGGCCAAGUCACAUGUUAAAUAUUUUAAGUCUUUAACUUGAUUAAAAAAUGAAAUAGUUUAAGAAAAAAGCAAGCCAUUUGGGAAAAAAAUGAAUCUAACGUUCAACAUCUGAAAUGCUUUGCAGCAAAUCAAAAUCCAGAAAAGAGAAUGGAAAAGUCAGCUAUUGUCCAUUUGAAAAGAAAUUCACUCACCUUCACAAAGGUUCCACUCUGUGGGUUGUUCACUUGAUCCACAUUCUCAGGGGAUUGCAAAAAUCCUGAUUCAUCUAAGCAACUGGAGCUAGUCAAUGCUUGAUUCAAUGGGAAGUCAGUUCCUGACGGACUCAAAAAAUUGCAAGCAGCAUAUGGCACGGCUGCUGAAUCACUUUCAUUGGCACCAGUUCUGAGGCUUGGCAUGCCAUUCUGCACUAGAAGUGACGAGGAAUCUAUGUUAACCCCAAACAACAAAUUGUUUUGGGGAUCCGUGGUACCAUCUUGAUCCACCGAACAUUCUCUUCCUGGAAAAGGUGGCAAUGUUACAGAUUGUGGGGAGGGAUUAGGCUGUGUAGAACCUAACUGUUCCACAUGGGCCACAACACAUUGAGCUCCAGAUGGGAGAACUGACUCAACUGCAAUUCGUUUACAUGACCAGGGACUAGAAGUGCCUAGAGGGGUGGUUCUUGGCAAACUAAGAAGGUGUGAUGCGUCCUCUGGAGAAAACGGUCGCAAAAUAUUAUGCAAGGGGGAGGUGCUAGUUGUUGAAACAGAGUUACCAUUGGAAUCUGGAUAGUUCUGUGGCUGGGAAAACGAGGAAAAUGUUUGCAAUGUAGGAGAUUGGGAUUGAGAAGCAGAGGUAAACUGAGACAGGGCUGACACUAUGUUAGGAAUUUGUUGAUGAUCAGGCAAGUGGUUCUGUUGCAUUUGUUG
rnacentral:lncRNA from 1 species